GUAUUUCUGUAUACAUCGGCCCUGAAAUAUGAGUAUUGAAACGGUACUCUGAGGAUCUUGACCCUAUCCUUCGCGUAUGAUACCAAGGAAGAAACGUAUAAUAAAAUGUGUAUGCUGAAUUUUUUUGAUGACAGAAAGUUACGUAGAGCGCGGAUAUUAAUUUUCCUGGCAAUCGUUGGGGAAGAUUUCGAAGAAGAAUAGCAGCCUAGAAGCUGAAUUACAACGGAGUUCCAGAGGAUACGAAAUGCAUUAUUUCCAAGGUUGGAAUAUCCAUCGCAAUAAAUAAUUCAGACGAAACGGGAGCUGCGGCCAACAGAACGGCAAAGGCAUGAAAAUCUCGAGGGGCAAAAGGAAGAGGAAGCUUCCAGCGACAUUUUCCUCCGUUUCCCUACCCUUUCUCGCUUUUCACCUCGAAGGGCCGGCUUGGUAAAGAGGCGAGACCUGUAACAAGCACAAAACAGCCGGAACGGGCCGAGUGGGUCUCCGGGAGCAUUCGUUCAAAAGGAAGCACAUUUAUUUCAGCAACGGUGCCUGCAUCUUGUAAUAGGCUAGCCUAUUGUGCCUCGCCUGAAUAAUGCAGCCAGCCUUCCCUAUAGUUACAACGUGAUUGGGAAACGUGCCGUGGAAGUACUCUUAAGGGAGCAACGUGUUUUAAGACUUAAUUGCGCGCACGUCCUAUCCCCUUCCGAACUUCGCUACGAUGUAAUCUAAAUUGAACAAGGUCUCGACGGAUCGAUAAGACAUUGUCUUUGCAAGAAAGCAAGGAGGCGAAACACGAACGAGUGGAAAACUGAAAUUAUCUUAACAAGUGCUAUCAAGAUUCGAUGGGGAGGAUUUAUCUAAAUUGUACUACUUAAGACAUUUUAUUAUUUGGCACACCAAUUUGUUCGUAAAUUAGUAUUGGAUUUUGUAACAGCGUGUAAUUUUUGAAAAAUAAUAUAUUUCUGAGAAAAUCAUAUCCUGGAAUCCGGAGAGGAAGAUAGA